CUGAGUUCUGGCUCCGGCUCCAGGGGCUGGGAUCUUGUGGGCUCUGGCUGAAACAUGUAGACUGUCCCCGGGAUGGUGCUCGGAGUUGGGGACUCGGGUGCACAGACUGCGUCUCUGCUUGUGUUUCCAGGAAUGGCAAGGAUGCUACAUCUGGGGGAGGAAGGGUUUUGUCAGGAAGCCACAGAGGACAGUGACCUUAUUCCAGGGCACCGGGCUAGAGGACAACAUGUCAAGAGCCGAGCAGUUCUACACGCUCAGCUCUGACACAGAAGUGUCCUCUCCCUCCCCUCCUCCCACCUCGGAGACCAAAUGAAGACUUGGUGGAACCUAGAAGGAAACCUCAUCUGAAGACAUGAGGAUUGGUGUGGCACAGCUGAAAAGUGUGUGUAUUACCCGCAUGAAGCCCCAGAUUCCAGCCACAUGAAUACACAGGUAAAGAAAGAGCAAGCCCAGCCCAGCCACUCAGGUCCAGGGAGAUGAAAACAACUGGCCCAGGGUAACUCCUUGCUAGGCCGCAGGACUAGCGGUCAGGGAAGACGCUGGGACCAUCCCGCUCGGGCAACUCACCGUCACUGCAGCGAGAACCACAGCUGAGGCACGUGGAAAGCCUGUUCCAGAGCUUGGUGUACGUGCCCUCCUCGCAGUCAGCACACACGGUGUCUGAGGUUUGGGUGCAGAAUUGUUUCACGUGCUGGCCUGAGAAAACAAGGACCGAAAGUCUCAGCAGAAGACCUGAGAUGCCGGGGUUCUGAACCCUAGCCAGGACGCGCCUCUGAUGGAACAUCAGCGCCUACAUGGGCUCACCACACAUCUGCCGGACCCCAGCCGUCUCCACCUCUGAGCACACCUCCCUCUCUGCUCCCUCCACUAGGAAAAAACGUACUGUCAGUCAGAAACACUUCAGAAAGAACUGGUUUGCCAACCCCUGUCUUCUUGGUGGUUGGUUCAAGUUCUCUACUCUGGUGUAUGAACUACAAGGAAAAGGUGGCAACAAGGAUCUCACUCCUAGUAGCCCGUCAGCGCCAACGGCAUGGGGUUCCUAAAGUCUGGGGGAUGGGAGAGCACCAGGGCAAACCUUUACCCUGGUGUUUGUUUUCUCUUCCGAAGCCAGAUCCUCUCCCUCUUCCUUUUCUGCCAAGCUCACUGCUAUUCUAAGCUUGUAGCUUCUUAGACACUCUUCUAGUCAGUAGAAAAGUCACUGUCCCUGGGGUCUCUCAAAGUGACUGUGGAGGGUGACAUGUACACGUGCCCCUGUGUUCCAUCCCACUGGGUCUCAAGCAAAUGGUACAAAGCCUCCAGUAAAUAAAAUCUGAAUUCUUCA